AAGAUCAUACUUCACAGGAUCAUUUCUGUAGUAUGCAUCGUCCCCUCCAGGUGCAAAUCUGGAGUCGUCAUUGGCCACGAUGAUGAGACUUGUCCAUGUGCCAGAGCGUGAGAUCGCUGGUGGUCUGCUGUUCGCAGUGAUGAUCAUUCAGCAACGAUGAUCGCAACCAGCUCUGCUGGAAAGGUAUAUGGACAGUCUGAGUGGU
rfam:Acyrthosiphon pisum strain LSR1 Contig28813, whole genome shotgun sequence.